rnacentral:tRNA from 1 species
GAGGAGUUAGUCUAAAAAAGACAGCUGAUUUCGGCUCAGCAAAUUAUGGUUUAACCCCAUAACACCUUUAUGUU